rnacentral:rRNA from 1 species
GAUGAACGCUGGCGGCGUGCCUAAUACAUGCAAGUCGAGCGAACAGACGAGGAGCUUGUUCCUCUGACGUUAGCGGCGGACGGGUGAGUAACACGUGGAUAACCUACCUAUAAGACUGGGAUAACUUCGGGAAACCGGAGCUAAUACCGGAUAAUAUAUUGAACCGCAUGGUGCAAUAGUGAAAGACGGCUUUGCUGUCACUUAUAGAUGGAUCCGCGCCGCAUUAGCUAGUUGGUAAGGUAACGGCUUACCAAGGCGACGAUGCGUAGCCGACCUGAGAGGGUGAUCGGCGACACUGGAACUGAAACGCGGUCCAGGCUCCUACGAGAGGCAGCAGUAGGGAAUCUUCCGCAAUGGGCGAAAACCUGACGGAGCAACGCCGCGUGAGUGAUAACGGUCUUCGGAUCGUAAAACUCUGUUAUUAGGGAAAAACAAAUGUGUAAGUAACUAUGCACGUCUUGACGGUACCUAAUCAGAAAGCCACGGCUAACUACGUG